rnacentral:rRNA from 1 species
GAUGAACGCUGGCGGCGUGCCUAAUACAUGCAAGUCGAGCGAACGGACGAGAAGCUUGCUUCUCUGAUGUUAGCGGCGGACGGGUGAGUAACACGUGGAUAACCUACCUAUAAGACUGGGAUAACUUCGGGAAACCGGAGCUAAUACCGGAUAACAUUUUGAACCGCAUGGUUCAACAGUGAAAGACGGUCUUGCUGUCACUUAUAGAUGGAUCCGCGCUGCAUUAGCUAGUUGGUAAGGUAACGGCUUACCAAGGCAACGAUGCAUAGCCGACCUGAGAGGGUGAUCGGCCACACUGGAACUGAGACACGGUCCAGACUCCUACGGGAGGCAGCAGUAGGGAAUCUUCCGCAAUGGGCGAAAGCCUGACGGAGCAACGCCGCGUGAGUGAUGAAGGUCUUCGGAUCGUAAAACUCUGUUAUUAGGGAAGAACAUAUGUGUAAGUAACUGUGCACAUCUUGACGGUACCUAAUCAGAAAGCCACGGCUAACUACGUG